AGGUGGCUGCUGCUGACCACAUCCUAGCCUGGGUGAAUCCUUGCUCUGAACCAGUAUGGCUGGUCAUAUAUGUAUGUGUGCAUGUCAUCACAGGGAACACUUCACCACCCCAGUGACACACAGAUUUCUCUUGACUUGGUCCUUUUAUGGCUUCAUUAAAUCAUCCUGUAUUUGCCCAGUUAAAUGUGUGGAGAAAAAUUAUAUUGGACAUUUUUACAAAAUUCUCAUCCAUGCUACAGAAGGUACUCUGAGGUGUGAUUAACGUGAGAUGCUACCACCUUAUGGUUGUAUGCCAUGGUGAAGACUAGGAGAAUAUCCGGAAUCAAUGGAGAAUACACUGAAGUAGGGUGUACUCCAAGGGAAGCAGAGUAAAACUACAUGAAAUUCUAUAUGAACAGCACAAAAUACCUGGGAUGAUUUCUUUUGGUUUUUUGUAAUUUUUGUGUGAAUUCAUUUCCCUCCACAAAAGGAGCUGAAAUGAAAAGCUAUCACAGAAAUAAGCAUUACAUUUUAUACCCUUUUCAACUGUCUCCAGAGAAAAGAAGCAUUCAGAGGGAUCAUGAAGCUAGACUUGUAGAAAUGGCAUGCUGCCCGAGUCUCAUGGAAAAAAUUAAGACCCUAUCUGAUAUUGGUUCUAUAGCCAACAGGAUCAUUCCCAGACUCCAGCAGCUUUUCAUAAGUGCGCACACACAAAGGAGAAAAUUGUGAUAAAGGGUUAAUAUGCUGGGUGAAUACUUGUUUAUAUCUCUAUAUUGUUACCACCAGGGUGUUGAUGAGCACAUAUUUAUCUAUAAGCCACUAAUUUACUGCCACUUUGCCCAUGGUGUUGGAGAACCUCGUUACUUUCCAGUAUCUGAUUGGGAGAAGCUGACCAGAAUUUUAACAGAAUCAUUAGAGCACUACAAUGAGCUUCAUGCUGCAGUGAACCGUGUUCUGUCUGAGGAUGCCACAGAGCCCACAAGUCUUCACCCACUGUGAAUUGUUGAGUCCUUCUCAGUGUGACCCACGGGCCUGCUGCUGGUCAUUGCAAAUCCACUGUAGAGCCCUGAGGCGGACUGUGGUUUGACCCAUCAAGCUGCUGAAAGCUACUGAAAAUUAGCAACUCUGAAUGAACAGACAAGCGUGAAGUAUGAUUGAGUGAGAAUGGGAAUGAAGCAAAUUAGUUUCCCUGAGGAAGCAACCUUGAAUUAACACAAAAUGUAGAGCAAGAUUCAGUCAAAACUUCCAUCUAAUUCCCACUGGCUGCUCUUGGAAAGACAGAAAUUCAGGUAAAAUUCUGUGAAAUCAGAAUAAACUCCUGAAAUGCCUGAUUGAUCUUGGGUGAGUGAAAAACCCCACAGCACAGCCAAAAGUCUCUCCUGAUUAUAUGAGUUUUAAAAUAAAACCAAAUUCCCAGUCCUGGUGAACUGCACAGCUGUUGACUGAUACAUACGGGGUACCUGGGAGCCUUGGAUGCUGUCAGCAGCACUGGCAUUGAGAAGUCCAUCAGGAAUGGUUGCUUGAGCUCAGAAGUCAAAGCUGAAUUGCCAGUUUGAAGACUAAGUCUGAAGUCCAACAUUUCAGGCAGUCACGGAAAUAAUUUCAACACAGAGGAGAGAAUGAAAACUGCAGAGCCAAAGGGCCCACAAGAUCAGGUUAUCAGCCACAACAGAGAGAUGCUGCAAAACAGGGCAAAGAAAAAUUGCAUUUCCCUGUAUAGGACUGACACCAAUGAGGUACAAAGGAGGACCCUAGGAAACCCUCCUGUUGUGUUGGUUAGCAUCGCUCUGGCACACAAACAACCUGGCUCUUGCUGUGGUAUCUGAAGAUCUGAAGAGGGGUUUAAAAAGGCAGAACGUGGAGGCUUUGCAGAUACUGAUAGGCAAUUCCUUCCCCAAGUCUGAGGGGCAACAGAGGAAAGAGCAUGACUGGGCUUGUUUGAAAGCAUUGCACUCAGAGGAAGGUACCUUGGCUCAUGGACUAAUUGGAAGCAAGAGCUGACCUUUUGAUACUGAACAUGAGAGGGUCAGUGGUGAGCGGAUAGGCCACAAAGGGCUUUGAAAGUCAAGACAAGUCAUUUGUGUCUAAUUCGACUGAGAAGGCUACAGAGAGCCAGACCUAGGCGAGGGCAAGGGAAGGAGAUUGUGUCAAGAGCUUGAGAGGGAGAGGGCUGAGACUGGAGGCGGGAGAGGGAGUUGGGAGAGCAGGGGAAGAGGCUGGACAAUCUAACCGGGAUCAGCAAUAGCAAUCAAAGGGGGAGGGAGGAUGGGAUGUUUGAAGCAACCUUCGUAUGAAUGAAAGCUUUACAGAAAUGGCAGCGGUUUCUGAAUUAUUAUAAUACAUUCCAAAGACAUGCCAAUUCAGGAGUUCACAAUGCAGCUGUUGUUUCUGAGGGAAUGAGAAAUUAUUUUACCAAUUUAUGCAAAGGACUAUUAAAAAGGUGGCAGACGAGGAAAGAAUAUCUACAUAAAAUGGAAAGUUAAUUGCUCCAUAAAAUGACUCACUGAGUGGUUCAAAAAUCUUCUCAUGCAUAAAUAUCAAAAUUUUACUAUUUGGAUAUUUUUUGUUUGGUUCCUUCAUACUGAAAGAGUAAUUUUCACAGGCCAGUAUCUCCAGAAAUAGUAGUAGUUGCAUAAUUCGAUGUCAUGAAACAAAGCAGAUAUCUCUGGGGUUUAGCUUUCUGGAAUUUGGAAGUUAUAGGAACUGACAAAAGGAUUUUCAUUGCUAUUUGCUGGAUUUACCCAUGGGCAUUUGUUCAAAGUACUCAUUAUGUGCCUAACCUUCACUUUACCUUUGGGACUAUCAGGUGCUUAACUUUGUCUGAGCAUGGAUCUCUUGUCACCGAGGGAAAAAAAAAAAAAGUCUAAGUUAUUGCCCUUGUAAAUUACCAAGCUAAAGUAAUGACUGUUAUGGGCACUGGACUUCUGGUGAUCUUAAAUGCUGUGCUAAUAAACAGCCACUAUAAUAAUUCACCAGUUUCCUGCCAAGUUUUCUGUCAGUUGAUUCUGUUUCUCAUAUGACCACUUAUGAAAAUAAUUCUGAAAAUGCACGUUGCUACCUCCAAAUCAUGGCUGUGGCUGGUAGUAUUCUAUACAGCAGAAUAUGUACUUUAUGACCCCACCUCCUUCUUACUGUUGCUGUUGAACAAUGUGCUUGUUUUCAUGUCCAGAAGCCAAAUGAAAUAUUGUCUCCAUUCUGAUGGGUGAUGUGCAGAUGUGGAACCAAAAUUAUGCUGGUUUUGUGGCAACUGUCUAAUUGUUCACUUUAGCAUGGAGGCCGAUAUCAAAGCAAUGUUCUGCAAAGAAUCCAUAGCCGAUUGAAUUUGCGGGGGCACCUUUUAUGCAUGUAGGUGUCUUGUAAUGAAUCACAGAUGUGUUCUUUUAUUUCAAGAGCAGCAACUGCAUGUUGUAGUUAGGCAGGUGUCUAUAAAUCCCAGCUCAUUAGCUCCAAAGAGGAAAACAGCUUUCCUGAGGGGGUGGAUGAGCUAGCUGCCAGAGUUGGAAGAAACCAUGAGUGGGGGCUUGAGUACACUUAGUCUUUCACAUACACGCUACGUAAGCCCAGUGUAUUUGCUUUCCAACUUCUAGCUUGGAAUUUGUUUCUCUAGAGAGAUGGGAAACACAAAGGCAUUGCAAAUAGCAUGAGGUUCCUUAUAGUGUUCAUGUCUGGAUGGGUUUGGGUUGGAUGUAGUUGAUAUGGAGGUUUGCUUGUGGGGUGGUACUAGAGACAAUGGUUUUAUUUUGAUGGAUGAUUUAUACAUGUUGGAUCACAGCAGCUUAUAUUUGCAGGGAACUUUAUUCUAGCUAUGUUUAAGACAAGAUGUAGACUGUGUCAUAAUACAGGCGUGAUUCAGUUAGCGUUACCUUCAAGGUGAUGCCCACGAACAAGGGGAGAAAAUGCCCUUCCUAAAUGAGUUGGGUUUAUGUCCACGAGCGUAAUGACACUGUCAAAAUCAAGGAACAAAUUAUGUUCUUCAACUGCCAGAAGUGCCCAGUUCAGUGCAGCUCCCCUUGUUCUCACUCCAGUGAUCCUCUUUCACUCCACUGUAGCAAAUCAGGAUGAGUGGUUGCUCAACAUAGCUGAUUUUUUUUUUUUCUUUCUUAUCCCUCUUUGUCCUUCACAUCUGAUUUCCCACACCCACAAUACCAACUUCCUUCUGCUCUCUUUGCCUCUCUGAAUAACCUGUCUAGUUCUGUUCUGCUGCUCCAGCAUCCUACACAGCUAUUCCCUCAGUCCCAAGCAAUACUCCUUGACUACCUCAGCCCUCUAUGUAAAAGUGUCUUACAUUUCCUUGACUCUUCAGUAACCAGAAUUUAUUUAAAUUAAAACUAAAAAAAAAAAAAAAAAAAAAAAAACAAACACAAAAAAAACCCCAAACACCAACAACCAAAACUGCGCAAGAUUCUUCAUUUUUCCCUGCUGUGCUUAGUUUCAGACAAUGGACCAACAGUUUGCUCUUUUAGCUUUACUCAAGGCCAAUUUCAAUUAAAUCAGUUUUCAAUAGUAGCAAACAAUUUUUUUUUCUGCUAACCCUCUUCUCCCUGUUCUGUAAGGAAUCCUUGCAUGUUUAUCCUGCUUUAAAUUGUGCACAUGAAGACAGUGAAAACUUCUUUGUUUUAAAGAGAUUGCACUUGAUGGUACCACCUAUUACUCUGCUUUUCCUUGGCUUUUCAC